AUGCAUGUCUAAGUUCACACCCUUGUACGGUGAAACCGCGAAUGGCUCAUUAAAUCAGUCGAGGUUCCUUAGAUGAUCCCCAUCUACUUGGAUAACUGUGGUAAUUCUAGAGCUAAUACAUGGCUACCUGCUCCGACCCUCGUGGAAAGAGCGCUUUUAUUAGUUAAAAACCAGUCGGGCUUUCGGGUCCGUCCUUUGGUGACUCUGGAUAACUUUGUGCCGAUCGCAUGGCCUUGAGCCGGCGACGCAUCUUUCAAAUGUCUGCCCUAUCAAAUGACGAUGGUACGUGAUCUGCCUACCAUGUUAACAACGGGUAACGGGGAAUCAGGGUUCGAUUCCGGAGAGGGAGCAUGAGAAACGGCUACCACA
rnacentral:rRNA from 1 species